UCUCCGUAGGNUAACCUGCGGAGGGAUCAUUACCGAGUUUACAACUCCCAAACCCCUGUGAACAUACCUAUACGUUGCCUCGGCGGAUCAGCCCGCGCCCCGUAAAACGGGACGGCCCGCCCGAGGACCCCUAAACUCUGUUUUUAGUGGAACUUCUGAGUAAAACAAACAAAUAAAUCAAAACUUUCAACAACGGAUCUCUUGGUUCUGGCAUCGAUGAAGAACGCAGCAAAAUGCGAUAAGUAAUGUGAAUUGCAGAAUUCAGUGAAUCAUCGAAUCUUUGAACGCACAUUGCGCCCGCCAGUAUUCUGGCGGGCAUGCCUGUUCGAGCGUCAUUUCAACCCUCAAGCUCAGCUUGGUGUUGGGACUCGCGGUAACCCGCGUUCCCCAAAUCGAUUGGCGGUCACGUCGAGCUUCCAUAGCGUAGUAAUCAUACACCUCGUUACUGGUAAUCGUCGCGGCCACGCCGUUAAACCCCAACUUCUGAAUGUGACCUCGGAUCAGGUAGGUA
rnacentral:rRNA from 1 species